CCUGAUACCCUUGUAUUUCUGAAAAAUGUUAAAACUGCACCCUGAAAUUUUUUGAGCUUACGUUAAUCUUCAACUUUUAAAACUGUGUAGAUCACCUCUUUGUUGUUUGGAAAAUGGAUGAUAACAUAAUUUAUUUUAAUCCACAUAGAUGUCGUGUAGAUGAGACGUGACAUCCGGUGUUGAUCCAAUAUAAAAAGGAUUUGCAUUUGUACCUUAGAAACCAAUUUCCCAUUUGAUUGCAAGUUCUCUACAGAUUUUGGUUUUGAAAAGAUU
rnacentral:lncRNA from 1 species